CGCGAGAAUUGAGAAGGGGCGAUGACUUGGUGAGGCGGAAUAAGAGGCGAGAACCUUCUGACCCCGCCCCCUUGGGGGAUCCCGCCCCCUUUGGGGGAUCCGGAGGCGCUUAGUACUGACUUGCGUAGAGCGUUCUAUGUUUGUGGGUCUCUGCUGUGGUGCGCACGCUUUUGAAUUUUAGGGAAAUAAAGUUUUUGUGAGUUGUUUUUUUAAUUUGGGAGGAAGGAGAGCUGGGGGCUGGAGGGCGACAUGGGAAUGCCAAAUUAAGUGCGCCUUUAAUGAUAGCUACCAGUACCGUAAAAGAAGGGAUAUGACACCAAAACUGUAAAAUGAUAUACUCCAAAAUAAAGAGCAGCACUUCCCAAUAGUGGUCACUUGUUACCUUACGUCGAUAUGGACAUUGCUUUUCUCACUUGAAUGCAGAGUUUAAAACUUUUUCAAAAACAAUUGGAAACUAAACUGCAAUGAAUAUUAUAUCUUUUUCAUACUUUACUGCUUUAAUCUCCACAACUACUUGAUCGAAGGCAUAAGCGUUAUUUUUAUUUCACUGGUGAUAAAACUGAAGCACAAAAAAGGUUAAAUUGAUCAAGGCUCCGCAGCUAGUAAGUGUUAAAACUCAGUUUAAAUAGCCCCCAAACCUGUAGAUAAAUGCAUCAGAUAUGUAUUGAGUAGAAUUAUCUACAGUGAGACAGUUUGCAUUAGUUUGCAGGCACAAAGAGAAGUGAGACUGCUCCUGCUGGUGGUUACCUUGAAUUUUACAAAUGACCUUGCAGCCUUUCUGAGACUUGGGUUGCAGGGGUCCUCAACAAUAAAAUCAAUACACUAUUAUUAUUUCCUUCCUUUGAGUUUAUGACCCUGGUGAUAAAGUAGUUGAGAAUAGUGGAAUAAACCCUUGACUUGAACUCAGGAAAAUUGUUUUCAACUCCAACUUUAAUAAAUUUCACUUCAGGCAUUCAAUGAAUAUUUGAUGAAUGAAUGAACAAAACCUAACUAGUUAUAAGACACCUGACUUCACUGAGUCUCGAUUUCUUCAUCUGUAAAAUGAUCUAAUUCCUACCUCCUCGGAGUGUUGGGGAGAUUGAAUGAAAUAGUAUAAGGGAGAGUGCUUUGUAAAUUGCAAAAGUGUUAUAAAGAAGUUAGUGAUAAUGAUUUUUCAGACCUGAGAAAUGGCGUAAAAAAUUAAAAACAGACUCAAGAAAUAGUAUGUUGAGAUAAGCUUAGCUAAUGGGAAAAAGCUAGAUAAGUCUUUCUACAAAUAUUUAUUGAGCAAUUAUUGCAUAUACUAUGCUUGUUAAAGAGAAGAAAAAUGUGCAGGAAGUAGCACAAAUCAGUAUUAUUAGUUAUUAUUAUAAUUAAGUAUUGACAGUAUAUAGGGGCUGCAGUCAGUUUCCCUCCAGGAGCGUGGAAAUCAGGUUGCCCUCAGAAUUAAACUAAUAAAAAUUUACAUAGUAGAAGAAAUUAGCUAAUGGUGAUAGUAAACAUAUUUAACAACUGGUACUGCUCAAGCACUGAUCUACCAGAUGUGAAUUCCAGGAAGGGUCCAAGAGAUAUCCCUCUGUGCUAGGUGUUAACCCUUCAGUUGCUAGUUUUUAAAUAGUAGGUCCCCGGGAGGGGAGUUGUCAGGAGAGUUGGAACAGCAGCUGUUUACCAGCUAGUACCAAAGUAUUUCAGUAUUUUAAUACUCGGUAUUAUAACUGGUAUCAGUCACACUAGUACAUACAGGCCGAAUAUUAGUCCUUGCUGUAGACUGUGGUUAUCAAUAUUCUCUGCCCUUCCUUUUCUAAAACCCUCCCCAUCUGGCCUGUCCCUAGGAGGUUAUACUUCUCACCCUAAUGCCAUCAAGCUAGGCUUUGUUUUGGUCAGUGAAAUGUGAGUAGAAAUAGCUUGAUCCAGUUCUGAGCAGAAAUGUAUGGGCCAUCUCAUGAUUCCACCAUAUUUUUCCUCAGCCCUGAGAGGAUCAUGUUCCAAAUAGAGCUGCCUUUCUAGCUUUGGUCCCAGAAUGAAGAUGUGCAGAGCCACAGCUGACGCACAAGACAUGGAAUGCCUCACUUCCCACAAGCUACUCCUGGCCGAUGACUGAGCACAGCAGGGAUUUUUGGACAGGCUUCUUCCUGGGGUAUCUGUUUUCUGAGGAUCUGAACUGACAUGAGGGGAGGGAGGAUGAGAUCGUAGUACCUCCUCUCCACCCCAUCAGCCGUAGGGACCCUGAGGACACACCACCUCACAGAGCAUGAGAUCUGGCUUCCUAAGCAGCUGCUGAAGGGGUCAAUGAAGCAACCUAGAAGUACAGGAGAUUUAACUGCCCAUGGGGCCAACUAUGAUUAAUGGGGGAACAAUCCACUCUCCCUUCCUUCCUCUGAUGGACUGUUUCAAGAGGAGCUGAUGGAGGGAUAGACCUGUGGUUCCCAACGUUUCCUGUCUUACCUCCCCCCAAGUGCUCUGCAAUCAAAACAAGAAAACUGACUCUUUAAAUGACAUUUAUCCUGGCUGAUACCAGAGGAACUGUUACUGAAUCCUUACGUCUAACCUGGCUCACUUCUGUGAGCUCCUGUUGCUACCCAGGCCACUGGGGGGUAGUCAAGUCUCUUGAGGGCCUGGAGAGGGUCCUACCAACCUCAACACUUGGAAUCCUACACAUGUUCUUCUACCAGGAGAAACCUUAAAAAUCAUCUAGCUAUCUCCUUCCUCCUACCUUUUCCAGACGGGUUGAUUGUUGUCCCAUUUUCAUGUAU